AGAGUUUGAUCCUGGCUCAGGAUUAACGCUGGCGGCGUGCCUAAUACAUGCAAGUCGAACGGAAGUACCUUCGGGUACUUUAGUGGCGAACGGGUGAGUAAUACAUAGGUAACCUACCCUUAAGACGAGGAUAGCCAUUGGAAACGAUGGAUAAAACUGGAUAGGAUAUAGAGGAAGAAUCUUUUAUAUUUAAAAGAGAGAUCUGCUUAAGGAGGGGCCUGUGGCGCAUUAGCUAGUUGGUGGGGUAAGGGCCUACCAAGGCGAUGAUGCGUAGCCGGACUGAGAGGUUGAACGGCCACAAUGGAACUGAGAACGGUCCAUACUCCUACGGGAGGCAGCAGUAGGGAAUUUUCGGCAAUGGGGGAACCCUGACCGAGCAACGCCGCGUGAACGAAGAAGUUAUUCGUAAUGUAAAGUUCUUUUAUCAGGGAAGAAAGAGGAAUUUGACGGUACCUGAGGAAUAAGCUCCGGCUAACUACGUG
rnacentral:rRNA from 1 species